GACGAACGCUGGCGGCGUGCUUAACACAUGCAAGUCGAACGGAAAGGCCCUUUGGGGGUCCUCGAGUGGCGAACGGGUGAGUAACACGUGAGUAACCUGCCCUUGACUUCGGGAUAACUUCAGGAAACUGGGGCUAAUACCGGAUAGGAAUCCUUGCUGCAUGGUGGGGGUUGGAAAGCUUCGGCGGUUUUGGAUGGACUCGCGGCUUAUCAGCUUGUUGGUGGGGUAGUGGCUUACCAAGGCUUUGACGGGUAGCCGGCCUGAGAGGGCGACCGGCCACAUUGGGACUGAGAUACGGCCCAGACUCCUACGGGAGGCAGCAGUGGGGAAUAUUGCACAAUGGGCGGAGGCCGGAUGCAGCAACGCCGCGUGCGGGAUGACGGCCUUCGGGUUGUAAACCGCUUUCAGCAGGGGCGAAGCUUGUGGUGACGGUACCUGCAGAAGAAGCACCGGCUAACUACGUG
rnacentral:rRNA from 1 species